AAGACUAUACUUUCAGGGAUCAUUUCUAUAGUUCUUGACUUGAGAAAUGUGUUUCUAAAGUGUUUGGUCUCGCCAACUACGAUGAUGAGAUGCGAUAUUCUUUUCUGAGCAUGAAGCUGGCUGAAAGUAAGGAAUGUAUCCUAUGCUUUCUGCUAUUGAUGAUUGUUCUUUGCUCCAUCACAGAGCAUUGAUGGAAAGAAUAUGGUCAGAGUAGU
ensembl:snoRNA U3 Small nucleolar RNA U3